GAAUUUAAAAGAUAAUUAAUAUUAUUUAUUUGAAUUGUUUUAAUUAAAAUAUUAAAUAUUUUAUUAAUUUUUAAUGAAAAGAUUUUAUUUAUGAUAGUUAAAAGUACUGAGAAGGAAAUUUUUAAAUAUUAAAAAGAAGAAUUAAAUUUUUGUACCCUUGUGUAUCAGGGUUAAUUAAAUAAUAAUUUUUUAAUUAAAUAUUCUCGAAUUUAAAAGAGCUAAUUAAUUAUAAAUUUUAUUGUAAAAUAAAUAUUUAAAAUAAUUAAUUAGAAAUGAAACGUUAUUCGUUUUUAAAUAUAUCUAGUUUUUAAAGAAAUGAAUUUAAUUCAUUUAUUAAUAAUUAAAAUUUUAAGUUUUUAAUUUUUUAUUGUUAAUAAGAAAUUUUUUAAGGGAUAAGCUUUAAAAAAUAUUUUUAUAAUAAAUUAAUAGUUUAAUAAAUUGUAGGAUUAAAAAUUUCUAUAAAUAAAAAAUUGUUAUAAUUAAUUAUUAAGAUAAUAUUAUUUUUAUUUUAUUUAAAUAUUUUAUUUAAAUAUAAGUUUAAAUUAUAAAAAUUUAGAAUUAAUGAUUAAAUUAGUAUAAUUUUUUGUAUAGGUAAUUAUAUUAAUUAAGGUUGAUUUAAGGAAUUCGGCAAAAUAAUUUUUCACCUGUUUAAUAAAAACAUGUCCUUUUGAUUAUAAUUUAAGGUCUAAUCUGCCCCCUGAUAAUUUAAAUGGCCGCGGUAUUUUGACCGUGCAAAGGUAGCAUAAUAAUUAGUUUCUUAAUUAGGAGCUGGAAUGAAUGAUUGGAUGAGAAAAUAACUGUCUCAGAUUAAUUUAAUUAGAAUUUUAUUUUUAAGUUAAAAAGCUUAAAUAUAAUUAAAAGACGAGAAGACCCUAUAGAGUUUAAUUAAUUUAAAUAAUAUAGAUAUGUAGAUAUAAUUUUUUGUAUUAUUUAUUUUAAUUUUGUUGGGGUGAUAGAAAAAUUAAAAUAACUUUUUUUUUUAUAAAAACAUUGAUUAAUGACUUUUUGAUCCAAUAAUUAUUGAUUAAAAAGAUAAAUUACCUUAGGGAUUAA
rnacentral:rRNA from 1 species